rnacentral:rRNA from 1 species
GACGAACGCUGGCGGCGUGCUUAACACAUGCAAGUCGAACGGAAAGGCCCUGCUUUUGUGGGGUGCCCGAGUGGCGAACGGGUGAGUAACACGUGAGUAACCUGCCCUUGACUUUGGGAUAACUUCAGGAAACUGGGGCUAAUACCGGAUAGGAGCUCCUGCUGCAUGGUGGGGGUUGGAAAGUUUCGGCGGUUGGGGAUGGACUCGCGGCUUAUCAGCUUGUUGGUGGGGGAGUGGCUUACCAAGGCUUUGACGGGUAGCCGGCCUGAGAGGGUGACCGGCAACAGUGGGACUGAGAUACGGCCCAGACUCCUACGGGAGGCAGCAGUGGGGAAUAUUGCACAAUGGGCGGAAGCCUGAUGCAGCAACGCCGCGUGCGGGAUGACGGCCUUCGGGUUGUAAACCGCUUUCGCCUGUGACGAAGCGUGAGUGACGGUAAUGGGUAAAGAAGCACCGGCUAACUACGUG